UCUAGUAGCUUACGACUUUUCAUACUGUAUAAAGAUACGCUUUCAAUAAAAUCUGACCAUCUAUUUUUAUGUAAUAUGAAUUUCAAAAUAUAUCGAUCACUGAAAAACUCUGUCCAUAGACCGCAGAUAUCUAUGCAAUUUUAUGUUUCUACAAACACAAUUUGAAAGAUAGAAUCUAAGCAGAAGUUUGUUCACCUGCUAAAUACCAUAAUGGAUACUAUACUUUGAAUGUUUUCUGUAUUUUCACAUGUUACGUGUAUCUCUCACAAAUGCAUAAGAAUCCAUAAUCUAUAGACUAUUACGGUAAUGAAUAUUUCGAAUAAUAAUAUGGAGAAAUAAACGAAGCAACCAGUAAACAAUGUUGAAAAAUGCCGCGUUGCGGUGGAAAGGUGGGCCAAGCUUCACGGCACGGUUAGUAGAAACUGGCAGCAGAUGUAUACUUCCGGCAGCUGUAAGAGUGGUGUCGUGUGCCUUUAUGUUGCACGCGCCGAUUGGCCAUUAAAGAAUAGGCGCAGCUGGGGGAUUUGAUGAUUUCGAAUGGAAUCAAUUUUCUGACCCAACUGAUCGAUGUAUCGUCCUUCGUCUAUAAUUUUGUUUAAAUUAUUACAAACAUUCGUUCCGAAAUUCUACACGCUCGCGAUGAGAAGUAUGUCGGUAUAAAUUAACUUCUCAAGUUUCCAUAAUUAAAUUUCAGACGAAAUAAUUUAGCGUGAGGAUGCUACACGGGAAGAGAGCGAGAGAGAGAGUGAGGGAGAUAUAUAUAUAUAUAUACAAUAUAGGGAUGGAAGUUUGUACAGAGACACACGUGAUAAUUUAUGCCGGGUUUUUAUCGCGCCAAUGGGAACGUCCAACUUUUUUUUUAAUAUCUUGCAACUCGCUGCACAUGCUGGAACCAUCUGUCGUUGAACAAAACUUUUCACUUUCGUAGUUACGGCCGCGAGACUUUUAUUGCCGGCGUACGCAUCGCAUUUUGUGUUUUAACAUCUUCAUGCUUUGCCCCUUUUCUCGAGCUGCGGGGGAAAUAGCUUUCGCGUUACAUUCAAGACCUGCAGAAAUAUGCCUGAACUGCAUAUUAAGCUGGAAAAUGAUUGUAAUAGCGAAUCAGAGAAUUUUUACUGGAUAUAGAAACUUUUAGUUGCUUUCUUGGUAGGAAUUAUCAAACUCGGUACAAUUAUGAAUUUGACGUUUGUUGUUCUUAUAAUUACUACAAAUAGUAUACUCCUUCGUUGAAAUGUCGAUUCGUCGAUACUAGAACGUUCAAUUAUUUGAGAUUACAAGCAAUGUAUUAAAACUUGCACCAGAGGAAUUAAAACGGAAAUACACGAAAGAACAUGUAUAUCUGUUUAAACGUUUUGCAAAGAAAAAUCGUGCAAAUCCUCAAGAAUGUAGUCUCGUAACUCUACAAUAUUUCUACGAAAGAUUACAAAUUAAAACAAGAAAGAGAAAGAAAUCUUGUAAGAAAAAAUUACAAAAGUGUAGCUAUUUAUUUUUAACAUAUUACUUACUUUUAUAAUAGUCUAUGUUAAUAUACACAUUUAGAUGCACGUGUUAUAAAUUAGUAGUCUUAGUGUUAAAUUCUACUUCUAUAAAAUCGGUUGAGACGACUAAUAUAAAUUCAUAUAGAUGAAUAUGAAGGUGCGAGUUAAGAUCACUACUAAAUUCCUGUAGAUAUAGGGACAUAUAAAUUUUAACUUUGUUGGAAUAAGCUUCAGAAGCAAUUUGAUUCGCCUUCAAAAAAUUGAGACAAUUAAUUUGGACGGUUUAUCUCACAGAGAAAUAGCUGAAAGAUCCCGGAAGAUCCGGGCAUAUUGUGCAUGGAAACAGCAGCAUCUCUGUCCAAACUAUUCUACGCCGUAAUUCGAGUGAUUUUAUCUCGUGUCUGCAUCGACGUGUUACGAUUCUCGGACGUGGCAAUUCAGCCAAUUUACUCGAUUCCCCCGACGUUCCACAAUGGCUUGCCAGAAGUCCCCAUGACAAUAUCGUGGACAUCGUGGAAUGCAGACAGAUCGAGCUGAACCGACACGUUCUCCACGCGAAUUCACUGCCUUUUGUCGCAAUAUAUCACUUUGCGGUCCGCUUGGACAGUAAUAGAAAAAUUAUGACUGCACAAAGUACGUAGUAUUAUAAAUGAAGCAAAUAUUUAUGAGAUAUCGAUAGAAUUCUUCGAAUAUUUUUCUAAUUUUUCAUAGACGAGAUAAUUAAUAUUUGAAUGUUUGAUGAUCCGGAUCUUGGAGACGAGACAGUGAUUUUUCGACAAGUUAUAAAUUAAAGAAAUAUUUGUAAAAUAUCGAUCAGAAUACUCCUAAAUAUAUUUCCGUUUGAUCACUAAAGAAGUUAUUAUGAUUUGAAGAUAACUGUCUAUAGUGACUAUGACUUUGAUCUAAUGAUCCAAAUUUUCAUUAUACAUUGAUUCUGCUUUGCAUUUGCGGAUGCUUGUCACGUGGAAUUAAUGCACGGUACGUGUCUCGAAUAGAAGCUGGUUGCCCUGGAACCAUAGAAUUAAGCAACAUAUCCCAUCGUCCAAAUUGUAUUAUAUUAUAGUGGCUAUAAAAAAUAUUAGCAUAUCCGUUUGUUCUCCAAGAAAGCGACUUUUUAAGACAGGUAUUACAUUCCAUUUUUGAUAGCAUUUCAAUUUUCUCUAGUCAUAUGGAAGUACUAAAUGACACGAAAUUUAAUGUAUCUGAAUCUAAUUAAUUAAUAUAUAUAUUUUAUAAUAGAUACAAUAAAGUAUAAAAUACUUUUUUAAAUAAAAAUACUUUUUUGUAACCACCGUAUAUAGAGAACAAAAAAUUUGUCCAAACGUUUGUCACGUUCGUCGGUAAACGUAAUUCUCUUUCAGAGUUUUGAUUGAUGGUAAUUCUUGAUUAAAAGAUUAGCUUGCUUGUUACGUAAUAACAUUUAGAGAUGAACCUGGGUCGAUGUCCGAUUCAGAAUAACCUUCUGUGCACAUAACUUCUGUUUGUUUAAACUGCCAUUUGGAGCUGCUUUGCUAUACUGGAUAUCGGAGCCUUUAAUUAAACUGUCUGUAAACCUCGCCGUUCCUGUGUUUGCAUCGUAGAUGCGCAUAGAUAUACUUAUGCAAGCGAGUUAUCGGCAAAUCGACGUUAAUUGCCAUUUGGCUUAACUCAGUGACAAGGCGCGCAAUAGUUGGAAUCUUCAAGCACGAUUAAUGUAUGAUAUCUUUUCUGAUUUGUCCAAUGAGAUUUUAUAUCUGUUAUUUAUCAUUAUAAUAAAAUUUUUGCACCUUGAUGAAGUACUAUGUAAUUCAUUUAUGCCUUCCAGUAAUGUUUAUGUAACUCUUAUUCGUUAUUUCCCUGCUUGAUCCUUAAAUUUUAAUUAAUGCAAUGAUUAAAUCCAUUUAUGUUACCUCUAUCAUGGUAUUGCUCGUAAGAAGUGACUUUGACCAAUUUUUGCAGUAAAUGUAAUAAAACGUACGAAUCAAUGACGAAUCAGUAAUUAGAACAAUUACUAGGCUUUUACGAAGUCAUUAGACCAAAUAUAAAAAAAUAACUUAAGCGUGGUUCCUUUAUAUUCUUGAUUUUGCAUGCAGGAAAUACAUACAGUUGUUGUAUAUAGUACAUAGUGUUGCAUGCAGUAUCGUAUCAUACACUUUUUCUAUUAUCCUAUACCCCGUGUAAAAGUUGAAAAUUCAAGUGAAAUUUUAUAAUUAUUAAAGAAAAUAUCUAAAGCGAAAUUUCAAAUGAUAUUAAACAUGUAAUGCUAAUACCUACUAAAGAUUUAAGACAACGCGGUAUAAUAUUUAAUACGUAAAACAAAUUCUACUUAAAUAUCAUUUAAUCCCAUUGAUAAAAAUAUGAAUUAGCAUAGGCAUUCGCAAUCUGGUUAUGAAACACGAUACAUCCAUUGUUUGCAUCUCCAUGGACAGGUAAGUGAUGAAUUCCAUUGCAACACGAGGAAAUCUUUGCAAGUUUAAAAAAUGUUGGCACGCGCGUAGAGGCCGGAAGCGGGGGCUCGAAACCGAGGGUGCAAACGAAAGAGGUGGACUCCACGUUUGUCUCUCGAGCCCUCCACUAACUUUUUCCCCCCCAUAUGGCCGGCACAUGUGGGUUCCCCAUGGGCUACGGAGGGGGCAAAGUAAUCGGGAAACCAGCUGAUGGUCGCCGUUUGUUGGCCUUCUUCAGUUACUCUUGGACCGUGCUGUGCUCCGAAUCCGCUUUCGCGGCGUUCCAUCCAACCGUCUCCGAUUUCCACGAUAAAUUGCAGCAAGUAUCACCGUGAGAAACGACCUUAACCCGUUCCCUAACUGGAUCCACGAGAGGAAAGACGAGACAGAGCAGCAGCAGCAGUGCAGGACGCCGAUAUAAUCGAGAUGAUACCGGAUUCGGAAAGCAUUUGUCAGACUUCCGAGGCUGCGGUUAGGAGUACGGACGUAUAUCACAAGAUUAAGAACACGCCGGAAGGGGAAGCGGCCUCGGUGACCGCCUGGAAGCGAUAUCAGCAACUAGUGGCGAUCGUCGAGUCCAGGGGAGGAAAGUUCAACCGGAAGUCGAUGAUCGAGGCAAUCUUUCGCGGAAACGAUCUCGUCUACGCAAGCCAUUGAUUUCAGGAUCAAUAUCGUAGAUCUACGUUGCAAUGAAUUUUUACCAAAGCGAGCGGAUUUAUAUUUAUACAGUGGCGUGGAAUAAUUUGUAAAGAUACGAUUUGUUGCCUUGUAAUAUUUAAUUACACGAUAUCGAUAAUUGCACUGCGGAUCAUAAAGCGUUCGUGGCAAUUUUCAAAGCACAGCAUAGAAUGCAUGCAAUGUACAAAAGAUUUAUCAAAGAUAUGGAAUAUAAUUAUAUAUAAUUUUUAGUAUGUGACACGAAUCUCUACGCAGAUUGUUUCUCAUAAUAUUGUUUCGUAGUAGACUACGGAUGUUUAUGCAAAUUUAGAUUUUUAUAAAAACACGAUUAAACGAACGAACCCAAAGUAAAGGUUCUUUUCAUUCGGAAUACUUUAACUUUGGAUAUUUUAUACAUCUUUGUACAAAAUGCAUAGAUAUCGGUACCAUAUACCGUGAGCUACGUUCGUAAAAAUAUAAAAUUGCAUAGAAAAUCCGUACUCUGUGGAUAAUAUAUUGCGAUAUUUCUUAAAAUACUCGAAUAGUUUAGACAGCGAUAAGUUAAUUGAUUGCUCGUUAGAAGUGUUACUUUCAAAGCUUUAUCAUAGUCGUUGUAUUUAUAACGAUAUGCUCUAAUUAAUCGUUCUCUGAUUAUAUACUCUAAUUAAUUGAGAGCAUGAAACCAGCGAGCAUCGACGAGCGUUUCUCUGACAAAUUGACACAACGAUAUACGUUCGAUUCUCUUCGAUAUCAAAAUGUCGAAAAUCAAUUAAUCGACGUAGCAACGUGACAAUAACGCGAUCUCACCUUCAACAUAUACUCACGUAUCUCCUUUUUACUCGAAUGGACAACCAAUCUCUACGCCACUGGUGAGAACAAUUAGAGAUACGAUUAACGAUGCCAAACCGUGUAUUGCUAGUCAACGUUAGAGUAAUAAAAACACAGUAUGUAUACAGGUUAAUUAGUUAAUUAAACGAAGAUUAGGACUUAUCCGAGGGCGUACACGUGUAAUCUCUGCAACAAGUCAGGGAAAAACAACUAUACUGGGUACACACGUGCCGCGUAAUUGCAGUCAGAUUGCUGUGAGAAGAUUUCACGAUCGCCUACGAUUCUAAUCACUAGUUAAAGCUGAGGAAGAUAUUUCUCUACUCGAAGAUUGAGACUCUAUCGUGAUUUUGUAAACUUUCGUAAUUUUUUUUUCAUUUUUCUGUAUUUUUUAUAAGAAUUCUAUCAUAGAAAUAAAUUCUUUCCUUUAUAAAGAA
rnacentral:lncRNA from 1 species